rnacentral:rRNA from 1 species
ACGCACGCUGGCGGCGUGCUUAACACAUGCAAGUCGAACGGAAAGGCCCUGCUUUUGUGGGGUGCUCGAGUGGCGAACGGGUGAGUAACACGUGAGUAGCCUGCCCUUGACUUUGGGAUAACUUCAGGAAACUGGGGCUAAUACCGGAUAGGAGCUCCUGCUGCAUGGUGGGGGUUGGAAAGUUUCGGCGGUUGGGGAUGGACUCGCGGCUUAUCAGCUUGUUGGUGGGGUAGUGGCUUACCAAGGCUUUGACGGGUAGCCGGCCUGAGAGGGUGACCGGCCACAUUGGGACUGAGAUACGGCCCAGACUCCUACGGGAGGCAGCAGUGGGGAAUAUUGCACAAUGGGCGGAAGCCUGAUGCAGCAACGCCGCGUGCGGGAUGACGGCCUUCGGGUUGUAAACCGCUUUCGCCUGUGACGAAGCGUGAGUGACGGUAAUGGGUAAAGAAGCACCGGCUAACUACGUG